AGGGUAUAGCUCAGUGGUGGAGCACGUGCUUAGCAUGUACAGGGUCCUGGGUUCAAUCCCCAGCACCUCUA
rnacentral:tRNA from 1 species